CCAUCUUGAAAGAGGGCAAAGACACUCCUGGCGCUCCCCGCCUCUCGGCUUCCUUCAAAUGCCAGCGCCAUCUUGGAUCACGGAGUAUAAUCACUUCCUUGAGUAGAGGAUGUUUCCGACACAUCUUAGCAUCUUGUGCCAGAAGAAUAGGGGCUUACCGUCAGGAUCAGAUGAGGAAACUGAAGCACAAGGGACACAGCUCCAGUAAGAGGUACAGCUGAAACUGAUUCGCCUUGACUGAUGAAGCAGGUUCGCUAAAUCCUACCCUCGGAUCCGGCAGCAUUUGUCUUCAAUGAACAGGUUGGGUGCUUCCUGGACAGAGAUCUGGGAUUCAUGGACCUU